UACACAAUGGAACUACAUUAUGUUAUACAUCUGAAAUACAUUAUUAUACAUCUGAAUUGCAAUGUAUUGCUCUUAUAAUAGUGUUAAAAGAACUUGGGUGAAUCUGGGCUAAGGAAGAAUGCAAACUAGCAUAUGUAUAUGUAUUCCAAUUAUUGUAUAUACAUAUACAUAUAUACUGAUAUAUCAAUUAAAAGGAACAUCUAACCUAACAAAACUGUGCGAUGGCUUGUAGACGGCAGCUACUCAAGUAGGAGAUUCAGCCAAAAGUACAGUGUGCCCCCAGCCACAUGCUACAUUUCGAGGGACACAACCCUCUAUAGUAACUG
rnacentral:misc_RNA from 1 species